UACAGAGGCCUCAAGCGUUGUUCGGAUUCAUUGGGCGUAAAGGGUGCGUAGGCGGCGCGGUAAGUCGGGUGUGAAAUCUCGGAGCUUAACUCCGAAACUGCAUUCGAUACUGCCGUGCUUGAGGACUGGAGAGGAGACUGGAAUUUACGGUGUAGCAGUGAAAUGCGUAGAGAUCGUAAGGAAGACCAGUGGCGAAGGCGGGUCUCUGGACAGUUCCUGACACUGAGGCACGAAGGCCAGGGGAGCAAACGGG
rnacentral:rRNA from 1 species